rnacentral:misc_RNA from 1 species
AACGCACAUUGCGCCCCUUGGUAUUCCGGGGGGCAUGCCCGUUCGAGCGUCAUUACACCCCUCAAGCAUAGCUUGGUUUUGAGGCCCGCGGUCCGCCGCGCCCUCUGAAUUCAACCGGCUGGUCUUGUGGUCUCUCAGCGUUGUGAAAACGUCCGCGGGGAAGGCUACACGGUCCAUGCCGUUAAAACUCACACAAGCUUGACCUCGGAUCGGGUAGGGAUACCCGCUGAACUUAA